AACGAACGCUGGCGGCAGGCUUAACACAUGCAAGUCGAACGCCCCGCAAGGGGAGUGGCAGACGGGUGAGUAACGCGUGGGAAUCUACCCAGUUCUACGGAACAACUGAGGGAAACUUCAGCUAAUACCGUAUACGCCCUACGGGGGAAAGAUUUAUCGGAAUUGGAUGAGCCCGCGUUGGAUUAGCUAGUUGGUGAGGUAACGGCUCACCAAGGCGACGAUCCAUAGCUGGUCUGAGAGGAUGAUCAGCCACACUGGGACUGAGACACGGCCCAGACUCCUACGGGAGGCAGCAGUGGGGAAUAUUGGACAAUGGGCGCAAGCCUGAUCCAGCUAUGCCGCGUGAGUGAUGAAGGCCUUAGGGUUGUAAAGCUCUUUCAGUGGGGACGAUAAUGACGGUACCCACAGAAGAAGCCCCGGCUAACUUCGUGCCAGCCGCCGCAGUAAGAC
rnacentral:rRNA from 1 species